rnacentral:lncRNA from 1 species
CAGGAGAUAUAUAGGUUACAUUCUAACAGAGCUUGUUCUCAUACCCAAACUAGGCUCAGUAUUCCCACCAAUCCAAGCUGAAAAGAAAUCGGAUGGGAAGGAUGUGGGGGCAAAAUCCCGGGGAAUGGCAGUAUCAGGAUUGGAACACAGAUCAACAACCCAUUCGUUGCAUAAUGACAUGACUAGCUGUAUAGAAUUGCGUAGCAUCCUCAUUCCAUUAGUGGGUUCAGUCAUCAACUGGUGCUGCUGCUAUGGUCUGGAGUCGAUCGAGAUGGCCAUCUCACCUGAGAAGGCUGGCUCUCACGACAGAGAUUUUAUGGCCCCAGUGGGGAAACCAGGUGGAAUUGUUCAGUCAAAGACAAAAAGCAAGACAAUUUUGAAGAUGAAAAAUGAUAUGCAGGCCCAUGAGGACCAGGUAUAAAGGCAGGCUUGAAAAACAGCCAAAACAGAUCUACAUGAUGCCCUAAAAGAAAGCUUUCCUCUAUGGCACUGAUAUAAGCCUUAUCCAGAUUUCUGGCAAAGCUUGUCAGUUGCCUUCCUCCAGCAAAGUGGGCCUACGCAUACUAUAAAAUAAACUCAGAGAAUGUUCAGCA